rnacentral:lncRNA from 1 species
CGUCCCUGCCGUGCCGCGCGUCCCCGCCUCGCUGUCCCUCCGACGCCGACACCGACGCCACGAGACCACGCGCUCCGGCCACCCUCGUCUCCCGCCGCCAAAGGGAAACGGAAGCAUGUCCGAAACGGCAGGAGGCUGAAUCAUCGAUGGACGAAACCAGCUGAAAACUCCUGAAUCAACCUCCACUUUUGCCCGGUUUUAGUUCGGCCGACACCCAGCAGAGGUUAUGGUGAAGCAUGGGAACGCAGCAGCCGAGUAUUUGCAGAGUGCCCCAAUCCGACGGCUGCGACACCCGCUAGAUGAAAGUCCAUUCUGGGCCAUCUUUUGCUCAACACUUGGUGAUACCUUAGCUUUUGUGGCCAGUCUACCAAUAAUUGCACUUCUUGUCAUUAUCUUACCGGUAUUUUCUCUUACCAGAUGGAUCCUACUCCUUGCCUACUGGAACACACGCCGCAGGUGCUUCAGAGUAAGCGGUGGAGUGGAAUCAAUGCGAGGUCAGGACGCCAAGUGGUUAGGUAGCGCAUGGCAGCGUUCGGUGCUCCAUGCAGUGCUCGUUUUUGACUCCCGGCUUGAUCUGAUGAGGCUGAAACAAGCCCUCCUUCAGCGAGUGAUCCCAUUCUGUCCUCGCCUAAUCUCGAAGCCGUUUGCGUUGCCACUCACGGCCGGUGCUGGCCAUUGUUGGCUUCCAGACUCCUCGUUUGAUAUACACCGACAUGUCUUCCAUGCACCAGAGCUUUCUCAGGAUCAUGGUGCUACAAAGUUACAGGAUUAUGUGGGAAAGCUUUUAAGCAAAAGUCUGUCUGCUGAUAAACCACCAUGGGAACUUCACGUCAUGCCUCGAUCAGUAGAAACUACUGUGUCCUCUCCGUGUGAAGCUCCAGACACUAUCGUCAUUCUGGGGAAUUCAUCAAAGCCUUGCCGAUGGCACAUCAUUAGUCAAAUUACUUUGCCAAAAUCUCUCUGAUACCAAAGUAAACUGGACCACUCCAAAGAAAUUUGGACGCAUCCAAUUUUGCUACUUGUACAUCCGUGCGUGCCUCAUCUGCCCACUUGCUCUGUGUUGCUGGCUCCUGACUUCACGGAAGGACCGCAACCUUAUAAAUGGGCCACAAAAAUGGACCAAUCACAAUGUUGUAUCUAUGUCUUCAAUGUUAAGUAUGAGCAAAGCAACCCGUAUCAAACAAGUAACACGUUCAUCAAUGAACUGUGUCGUUCUUUCUGCAUUUGCAGGAGCUUUGAGAUUGUUUUUGCAAAGUUGCGGAAUUAGACAUCCACCCGACAUGAAGGUAUGAUAUCCUGUUAAGAAUGGUAAGCCUUACCUAGAUCAUGUUUACAUCCUUCCAAGUCUUUGAGCAACAUUUGUCCAUUUUAUUAAUCUCGAAAAUUCUUGCAGUUAUCAAAUUUCCGCCUUCAAAGAAAUCUUUGUAGUGCUUCUAAAAGUUUAUGAUUACCUAUCAUUAAUUUGUCCUUUGAGACAAUUCUAAAGAAUGAUCAGAAGAUACAUGUUUUAUAUGUAAUCAAAACUGAAUGAAAAAUUAAAAAAUAUGUCAAUCGUGAAAUCACAAAAUCUUUAUUUUCAGUUUCAGAACUUUUUGCUUUUUUUAACAACAGAAACCAAGAAAACCGAGGUAACAAACUGUGAGCAUCAAAAUUUGGUAGAAACACUAUAAAACGUUUUGGAGGCUGUAAAAGGCUGACGUGUUUAGGACGCCUGUCUUCUUCUUCAGAAAUCUGGAUUGAAAAUUGGAAUCUGCUCUGAAAAAGGAGACAGGCGCUUCAAAACGCAUAGGAUUUUUUUUUUAUUUCGCAUUCUUUGAGAGUUUAAGUUCACUAUUUUGACUCUACUUAUUUUAUCGUUUUUGUCUCAUUUCUUGCCUCGUACGAAAGCUUGACAGAAAAACCAAGUACUUUACUUUUCUGAAACUACUCAAAGACAUUCUGUAAACAUUUUCCGCAGGAAUACCAAUCAGUUUCUUUUUUAAAAAAUAAGGUAAAAUCAGAAAUUUUCUUUAUAGGGAUUGAAAUUGUGUUUUCUGCACAGAAAAACGCAUCUUGUCUGCUCUGUUUCAAUAUUUCUUCGGAAUUUUUAUUUUGUUGUUGUUGGAGAACUAUUGUAUUGAAUUUGUUUGAAAAUUUUAGUUUCUUUCAUCACAAGUGUUGAGAAAAAUCACUGGAAAAUGCGACAAUCUUCCUUUAAAAAAAUAUGACGUCAGUGAGAAAUACUGAAGCAGUGCAGUCAAAAUACGUUUCUUUGCACAGGAAACAACAAAAUAUUUAUCCCCUGUUACCACUGAUUUAUUAGUUAUUAUUUACAUGAUAUAGCAAAAAGAUGGCAUUAUCUAAUUAUUGAAACAUAAGUAAAUUUACAGGCAAGUUUUAAUUUUACUAUCUUGUAGAAUUGUUUCCUCCGAAUAUAUCUUCCAAAUUAUCGACAAGCAUAGUAGUAACUAGUAAGUAAGUAAUUAUUUUUUAAUAUGAAGUGAACCACAAGCAUUUUUCUAUCACUCAGAUUGUGAUUCCUGUGAACAUGAACCAAGGGGGCAUGUCAGUCCAGCCAAACAUUAACAGUAAAGUUUCUCCUGUCGUUAUGACUCUACCUGUGAGUAUCGAAGGAGCUUUGCCACGCUUGUGGUACACUAGAAGUCGCCUCAAAACACUGCGGUCAUCCAUCGAUCCCUUCGUUCUCUAUGUAGCCACUUCAGCUCUAAUGUCAAUCGCACCUGGCUCAUGUGUCCGAUCGCUUAUUUCUGCUGUCACGGAGAAAACGGUGGGUGAGCUAUUCAGCCUUUUUAAUUCGUCGAGCAAUCCUGAAAAUACAAGUGAAAAGGAAAGUUGCAUCUGUUUUUGUUAUUGCAAUAUCUGUGAACUUACAAAAAUUUGAUGGGUUCUCUUUGAGAAUAAUCUCUCUAUAAAUCUGAAGAACUCUCUCUAGAACUCUGAAUAUCCUCUUAAUUUACUGUGGCUUGUAAGAGAGAUAAAAAAUAUGUAUUCUACAAGUGUAAAUGAACAGUGAUCGAAGCUGCAAAAUUAAAUAUCUCAAUAAUUGUAGUGUUUCAAAAUAAUAUCCGCUCCUAUUUUAUUUUUUUGAAUGACACCGGAUCAACAUCAUGGCUUGAAACUUUCACAGAAUAUUUUUCACAAUGUAAAGAUAAAACAUCGAAGUUUUCAAGAAAUGACGACGUAGAGUUUUCUAUUCAGAAAAUAAAGUAUGAGAAGAAGUCUGCAGCGCUGCAUAACAGAAUACGCGACUUUGCAAGUUUAUCUAAGUAAUAUUGUUUAAUUUUUAAAAUCAAACAUUUGGUCAGUGUUGCACCUGAUGGUAUUUUUUUUAUUCACAACCAUUCAAGAUUGAAGUUUACAGGAUUAUGUAUUCUAAGAUUACUUCAUGAAAGUACGAAUCAAAUUCUUUGUCGAUUUAGGCAAGCGUGCAGUUCAGCUGGCUUUCUGGGCCAACGUCACCUGUAGCAAUCAGCGGUAGCGAACUGAAAGCAAUAUAUUCUUUAGUCCCUGCUCAAAGCGGAAUUGGAAUAGCAGUUUCUGUGAUCACCUACUCCGAACAAAUUUAUCUUACUGUUGCUACUGAUGCUGCUCUCGGACAAACUGGAGAAAUCCUUUUGCAUCAUAUCAACCGACAGGUGAUUUUGCUUAAACGGUGUAAUUAAGGAGGCUUUUCAUCAAAGCAUUUGGUGCCAAAAAGACUCCUCUUGGUCUCAUUGUUUCGGAUUCUCUGUAAUAUUUUAUUCGUAUGAGGAAAGUGAAUAAAAUUUCGUUGGAAUUUUACUAAAUAUUCCUCAUGAUUCUCCAUUAGUCUAUUGAAAAAUUUCUGGAAAAGUCAUCCUUUACAUUCUUUUCUGAGACAUAAAUCAGCAACGGAGAUUCUGAAACAUUGCCACUAAGAAUUGCCCCUUCUUGCACCCAGCACCUUAAUUAGGCUUGUGCUAUUAGUUUUUGCCAUGCCAUUGAAACACUUUCGGUACAAAGUGCAUUAUAACAAUUUGAGAGCUCAAUGGCUUACUAUUGGAGUUUUGAAGUUUGCAAAACUGAGAUAUCAGCAGGCAUAUCUGUUUGACUCACAAACAAGGCAAGGAAUAAAUGCGUCGUCAGUUUCAUACGACUACCAUUCUCAAACAAUAGUGAACUCAUUAGAUUGUAUUGGUUGUAAUGAAAGUAAGGGCACUGACAAGGAUCCAUCUGCACACCAGCUUUAUUUUUAUACACAAAUAAGUUGCAAUUAAGAGGGAUCAUUAGCCUAAUAUCAUGGUGGAAAUAAAAUAUAUGAAGCUCAGUCUUGUAGAAAGAAAUCUAAAAAAUAGAUUAAUUAUUUGUAAUUAUUUUUAAAGAGAAAGAACAGAAAAACCAUUCUGUGUACCUUACGAGAGAUUUUCUCAAAAUCUUCUAUCUCCAAUUUUAUUGAUUGCAAAAUCCAAGAGCUGUGAUUUCAUUUUUUUCUGAAGUCACAGCAAUGUGUAGAUAUUAUCUCUCUACCUGAGGUUAAUUUCUUUUCUAUUUUUCAAUUAGUGUCUCCAGGAAUUCCUUAACCGUUACCGCUCAAGAUUUCGCCCGUUUUUUGACUCUUUUCCUCGUUUUGAUUUACAGAUUAACAAGUUGUAUGAGCUACUUCAUAAUAGGAGGAUUCCUGGUGAAGGUCAUCGAUCAGAUGCAGUUAGUUUGUCAACAUUCCCCAAUAUUCGAACCGCCCCUGUCGAUAGUGUAAGUAUUCUAAAUGUAAAUCUUACUCAAAUUAUUCAAUUAAUUGAUUUGAAAAUAUUCACG